rnacentral:tRNA from 1 species
GAGAACGUAGUGUAACUGGAAAACACAUCGGUCUACGAAACCGAAAAGUGAAGGUUCAACUCCUUCCGUUCUCGCCA